rnacentral:rRNA from 1 species
GUUCCUACGGGGCGCAGCAGUGGGGAAUAUUGGGCAAUGGAGGAAACUCUUACCCAGCAAUGCCGCGUGAGUGAAGAAGGUCUUCGGAUUGUAAAGCUCUUUGAUUGGGGAUGAAAAAAUGACGGUACCCAAAGAACAAGCACCGGCUAACUCCGUGCCAGCAGCCGCGGUAAUACGGAGGGUGCGAGCGUUAAUCGGAAUUACUGGGCGUAAAGCGCUCGUAGGCGGUAUGUCAAGUCAAGGGUGAAAUCCCCGCGCUCAACGUGGGAACUGCCUUUGAAACUGGCAAACUGGAGUGUGUGAGA